UACGUAGGGGGCUAGCGUUGUCCGGAUUUAUUGGGCGUAAAGAGCGUGUAGGCGGCCAUGUAGGUCCGGUGUGAAAACUCGAGGCUUAACCUCGAGAUGUCAUCGGAAACCAUUUGGCUAGAGUCCGGAAGAGGAGAGUGGAAUUCCUGGUGUAGCGGUGAAAUGCGCAGAUAUCAGGAAGAACACCAAUGGCGAAAGCAGCUCUCUGGGACGGUACUGACGCUGAGACGCGAAAAGCGUGGGGGAGCGAACAGG
rnacentral:rRNA from 1 species